GCACCUGUGGGUAGUUCAGUUGGCUAGAGCAUGGUGCUGAUAACGCCAAGGUCACAGGUUUGAUUCCUUUACAGGACA